rnacentral:rRNA from 1 species
GACGAACGCUGGCGGCGUGCUUAACACAUGCAAGUCGAGCGGUAAGGCCUUUCGGGGUACACGAGCGGCGAACGGGUGAGUAACACGUGGGUGAUCUGCCCUGCACUCUGGGAUAAGCCUGGGAAACUGGGUCUAAUACUGGAUAUGACCGUGGGAUGCAUGUUUCAUGGUGGAAAGCUUUUGUGGUGCAGGAUGGGCCCGCGGCCUAUCAGCUUGUUGGUGGGGUAAUGGCCUACCAAGGCGACGACGGGUAGCCGACCUGAGAGGGUGACCGGCCACACUGGGACUGAGACACGGCCCAGACUCCUACGGGUGGCUG